rnacentral:rRNA from 1 species
UGGGCGUAAGAGCUCGUAGGCGGUUUGUCGCGUCUGCUGUGAAAUCCGGAGGCUCAACCUCCGGCCUGCAGUGGGUACGGGCAGACUAGAGUGCGGUAGGGGAGAUUGGAAUUCCUGGUGUAGCGGUGGAAUGCGCAGAUAUCAGGAGGAACACCGAUGGCGAAGGCAGAUCUCUGGGCCGUAACUGACGCUGAGGAGCGAAAGGGUGGGGAGCAAACAGGCUUAGAUACCCUGGUAGUCCACCCCGUAAACGUUGGGAACUAGUUGUGGGGUCCAUUCCACGGAUUCCGUGACGCAGCUAACGCAUUAAGUUCCCCGCCUGGGGAGUACGGCCGCAAGGCUAAAACUCAAAGGAAUUGACGGGGACCCGCACAAGCGGCGGAGCAUGCGGAUUAAUUCGAUGCAACGCGAAGAACCUUACCAAGGCUUGACAUAUACGAGAACGGGCCAGAAAUGGUCAACUCUUUGGACACUCGUAAACAGGUGGUGCAUGGUUGUCGUCAGCUCGUGUCGUGAGAUGUUGGGUUAAGUCCCGCAACGAGCGCAACCCUCGUUCUAUGUUGCCAGCACGUAAUGGUGGGAACUCAUGGGAUACUGCCGGGGUCAACUCGGAGGAAGGUGGGGAUGACGUCAAAUCAUCAUGCCCCUUAUGUCUUGGGCUUCACGCAUGCUACAAUGGCCGGUACAAAGGGCUGCAAUACCGCGAGGUGGAGCGAAUCCCAAAAAGCCGGUCCCAGUUCGGAUUGAGGUCUGCAACUCGACCUCAUGAAGUCGGAGUCGCUAGUAAUCGCAGAUCAGCAACGCUGCGGUGAAUACGUUCCCGGGUCUUGUACACACCGCCCCGUCAGUCAU